AUUGAACGCUGGCGGCAGGCCUAACACAUGCAAGUCGAGCGAGCGGCGGACGGGUGAGUAAUGUCUGGGAAACUGCCUGAUGGAGGGGGAUAACUACUGGAAACGGUAGCUAAUACCGCAUCCCAUCAGAUGUGCCCAGAUGGGAUUAGCUAGUAGGUGGGUUAACGGCUCACCUAGGCGACGAUCCCUAGCUGGUAUGAGAGGAUGACAAGCCACACUGGCACUGUGACACGGUCCAAACUCCUACGGGAGGCACAAGUGGGGAAUAUUGCACAAUGGGCGCAAGCCUGAUGCAGCCAUGCCGAGUGUGUGAAGAAGGCCUUCGGGUUGGAAAGCACUUUCAGCGGGGAGGCGUUACCCGCAGAAGAAGCACCGGCUAACUCCGUGCCAGCAGCCGCGGUAAUAC
rnacentral:rRNA from 1 species